UGCCCUUCCUACGCCAAUGGUGAGACCGC
rnacentral:piRNA from 1 species